rnacentral:lncRNA from 1 species
GAAGCCCCUCGGAGCGCCGAUCUGCCUGCUGAGCCUGCGAGCAGUGCAACCUCAAGAGCAUUUCAUAACCUUGCUGCGCUUCAGUUCCGUGUUCACAAAACAAGGGUGAGUUGAAAAACUAUUUCAUUGGUCCGCUCCUCUAGAGGUGGCUGGAACCUACUGUCCCAGUAGUCAUGGAUAUGAAACAGAGAUGCCGCUGCGUAGAGUGGAAGCCAGCCUGGUCACGUGGAGAGGACUGACGGGGAACCCGUGUGAGCACCUGAGAGGUUGAACAAGAAGCCAGAAGAGAAAACUGAUCAGGAGCUGCCAAUUUUUUCCCUCUACUAGGACUGGUCCCUGUGAUACACACAGUGUGCGGAACACUCAGAUCCUGUACAGCAAUAUUAGAUUUGCUCAGAACUCCAGUUACAGCCUGUCACUGCAGAGAAGUCGAGGCAAAGCUUAAUGAUGUCAACUAGUCAAGAACUGAGAGAGAAA